rnacentral:rRNA from 1 species
AGCAGCCGCGGUAAUUCCAGCUCCAAUAGCGUAUAUUAAAGUUGUUGCAGUUAAAAAGCUCGUAGUUGAAUUUCGGGAUCAGUACGCUGGUCGUGCCUUUGGUAUGUACUGGUGUCACUGAUUCCUCCCUUCUGAAGAACCGUUAUGCCAUUUAUUUGGUGUGGCGGGGAAUCAGGACUGUUACUUUGAAAAAAUUAGAGUGUUUAAAGCAGGCUCGCGCUUGAAUACAUUAGCAUGGAAUAAUGAAAUAGGACGUUUGAUUCUAUUUUGUUGGUUUCUAGGAUCGACGUAAUGAUUAAUAGGGAUAGUUGGGGGCAUUAGUAUUCAAUUGUCAGAGGUGAAAUUCUUGGAUUUAUUGAAGACUAACUACUGCGAAAGCAUUUGCCAAGGAUGUUUUCAUUAAUCAAGAACGAAA